UACGUAGGGUCCGAGCGUUGUCCGGAAUUAUUGGGCGUAAAGAGCGCGUAGGCGGUCCGAUAAGUCGGCUGUGAAAGUCAUGGGCUCAACCCAUGAAAGCCGGCCGAUACUGUCGGACUAGAGUCCGGAAGAGGCGAGUGGAAUUCCCGGCGUAGCGGUGAAAAUGCGCAGAUAUCGGGGAGGAACACCAAUGGCGAAGGCAGCUCGCUGGGACGGUACUGACGCUGAGGCGCGAAAGCGUGGGGAGCAACAGG
rnacentral:rRNA from 1 species